rnacentral:rRNA from 1 species
UUAAGCGACUAAGCGUACACGGUGGAUGCCCUGGCAGUCAGAGGCGAUGAAGGACGUGCUAAUCUGCGAUAAGCGUCGGUAAGGUGAUAUGAACCGUUAUAACCGGCGAUUUCCGAAUGGGGAAACCCAGUGUGUUUCGACACACUAUCAUUAACUGAAUCCAUAGGUUAAUGAGGCGAACCGGGGGAACUGAAACAUCUAAGUACCCCGAGGAAAAGAAAUCAACCGAGAUUCCCCCAGUAGCGGCGAGCGAACGGGGAGCAGCCCAGAGCCUGAAUCAGUGUGUGUGUUAGUGGAAGCGUCUGGAAAGGCGCGCGAUACAGGGUGACAGCCCCGUACACAAAAAUGCACAUGCUGUGAGCUCGAUGAGUAGGGCGGGACACGUGGUAUCCUGUCUGAAUAUGGGGGGACCAUCCUCCAAGGCUAAAUACUCCUGACUGACCGAUAGUGAACCAGUACCGUGAGGGAAAGGCGAAAAGAACCCCGGCGAGGGGAGUGAAAAAGAACCUGAAACCGUGUACGUACAAGCAGUGGGAGCACGCUUAGGCGUGUGACUGCGUACCUUUUGUAUAAUGGGUCAGCGACUUAUAUUCUGUAGCAAGGUUAACCGAAUAGGGGAGCCGAAGGGAAACCGAGUCUUAACUGGGCGUUAAGUUGCAGGGUAUAGACCCGAAACCCGGUGAUCUAGCCAUGGGCAGGUUGAAGGUUGGGUAACACUAACUGGAGGACCGAACCGACUAAUGUUGAAAAAUUAGCGGAUGACUUGUGGCUGGGGGUGAAAGGCCAAUCAAACCGGGAGAUAGCUGGUUCUCCCCGAAAGCUAUUUAGGUAGCGCCUCGUGAAUUCAUCUCCGGGGGUAGAGCACUGUUUCGGCAAGGGGGUCAUCCCGACUUACCAACCCGAUGCAAACUGCGAAUACCGGAGAAUGUUAUCACGGGAGACACACGGCGGGUGCUAACGUCCGUCGUGAAGAGGGAAACAACCCAGACCGCCAGCUAAGGUCCCAAAGUCAUGGUUAAGUGGGAAACGAUGUGGGAAGGCCCAGACAGCCAGGAUGUUGGCUUAGAAGCAGCCAUCAUUUAAAGAAAGCGUAAUAGCUCACUGGUCGAGUCGGCCUGCGCGGAAGAUGUAACGGGGCUAAACCAUGCACCGAAGCUGCGGCAGCGACGCUGAUGCGUUGUUGGGUAGGGGAGCGUUCUGUAAGCCUGCGAAGGUGUGCUGUGAGGCAUGCUGGAGGUAUCAGAAGUGCGAAUGCUGACAUAAGUAACGAUAAAGCGGGUGAAAAGCCCGCUCGCCGGAAGACCAAGGGUUCCUGUCCAACGUUAAUCGGGGCAGGGUGAGUCGACCCCUAAGGCGAGGCCGAAAGGCGUAGUCGAUGGGAAACAGGUUAAUAUUCCUGUACUUGGUGUUACUGCGAAGGGGGGACGGAGAAGGCUAUGUUGGCCGGGCGACGGUUGUCCCGGUUUAAGCGUGUAGGCUGGUUUUCCAGGCAAAUCCGGAAAAUCAAGGCUGAGGCGUGAUGACGAGGCACUACGGUGCUGAAGCAACAAAUGCCCUGCUUCCAGGAAAAGCCUCUAAGCAUCAGGUAACAUCAAAUCGUACCCCAAACCGACACAGGUGGUCAGGUAGAGAAUACCAAGGCGCUUGAGAGAACUCGGGUGAAGGAACUAGGCAAAAUGGUGCCGUAACUUCGGGAGAAGGCACGCUGAUAUGUAGGUGAAGUCCCUUGCGGAUGGAGCUGAAAUCAGUCGAAGAUACCAGCUGGCUGCAACUGUUUAUUAAAAACACAGCACUGUGCAAACACGAAAGUGGACGUAUACGGUGUGACGCCUGCCCGGUGCCGGAAGGUUAAUUGAUGGGGUUAGCGCAAGCGAAGCUCUUGAUCGAAGCCCCGGUAAACGGCGGCCGUAACUAUAACGGUCCUAAGGUAGCGAAAUUCCUUGUCGGGUAAGUUCCGACCUGCACGAAUGGCGUAAUGAUGGCCAGGCUGUC